rnacentral:lncRNA from 1 species
AAGGUUCAUACUAUAUAGAUGUAUCUCUGCGCUUUGGAUCUCUGCCAUGAAGACACUCAGUAGAACCCAGACCCUAUGUAAGAUUGUUGUGUAAUAUUUAACAGGUCCUCUAGUCCAUGCAACCCAGAACUGGCUGUAGGCUUCAUGGAUUUGAUUGAAUCAAUUUCUGACGAGCUCAGAAUCAGUGCCACUCAACAGGUCUAUGCAGAGAUUCAUACAGUAUCACUCACUGGUAUUGAUAUGAACCAAGUUGAACUUUUUUUACAAUACUCAAUGAGCCUACUGCUUCAUGAAUAACCCAUUCUAUUACACUGUUCCUCAGCAUUAUGCCGAAAUACGUACUUUGUUGUUUCAAGUAUAGUUUUUUUUUUUGUGCAAGGGGUGGGAAGAAGAUUUUAAGUCAUGAGAAAAUAUCCUAAAUAUAUAGCAUGUUAAGCCUCAACUCUGGUUAGUUUUCAUCUGAGAGCUAGUUUUGGUUUUCAGGCAAAAAUGACGAUCUUUCUUCCAACCUGUCACCCGCAUUUCAAUUAAGCAGGAAAUGGACUCUCCUCGAAUUGGCUCUUCUGAUAAACGUAAAAGUUUGUCUUUGAACAGUCUCCAUAUCAAAGAAGAAACAAAAUCACCAUCGCCUGUUGCUCCGGUCAACAAACGUAGAAGUCCUCGGUCAGCAACGCGUAAUUACUCAGAUGAUUCUAACCGAUGCCGAUCCAGGUCAAGGAGCUGUGUGUCUUCUCAAAAACCAGAGCUUUCAGAUUCUAUCAACCAUGAGAGCAUUUUGAACCAAGCUCUUGAACAUUUAACUGUAUCAGCCAAGAAGAAGAAAUUGCCAGGACGAAAUAUAUACAACGGUAUUCAAUUAGACCCAUCUGUAUUAGCAUCAACCAGUAACAAAGAACAUCCAAUGAUGACACGUCGGGACAAAAUUAUCAAAACUCCUGUAUUGGUCCUACGCACUCGCGCAGUGUUGAAGUCAGCCGAAAAAACUAAUCCGUCAGCCUCUGAGAAACGGAGCCAAGCAGCUAAACAAGAGGAGGCAGUUAGCAGGAAACGCAAAUCUCUCCAACCUUUGGAGGCUCUGUGCCUCCCGCUUUUUAGCAAUCCAGCAUCUUCAGAAGUAGACACUGCAGAUGUUGAAAUGCAGGAUGGAAUCGUCCAGAUGAAAAUUCCUAAACGUCCCCAAGACGAUUGUGUGCAAUUAUCGUGCCCGCCUCCCAGGAAAAGCACUGUCACUUUCUCUGAUGUAAAGUAUGAACCAAAGAGGCCUGAUGAACAAGAUUUCAUUUUCUCUUUAACACAGGUGUGCACAGACUCGAAAGGCCCAUACAAUUUCAGCGCAAAACCUGAUGCAGGAAGUAUAUUCCCAGUCACUCGUAAACGCCUCGUUCUGACGGAACCGAAAACUCCACAAUUGAGAACUGCUCGUAGAAGUGUGGCCAGGACAAAUAAUAGAGUUGCAGUCAUCAACUCAGCUGGUGGAAGUCAGACUUUCAAAUUUCAAACGGUGCUUCAUACGGGUGUGCCAGUCAGUAUCAAAUCUGGCCCAACGGAAGUUAAACCUUUCAGCUUUGAGGAAAGAGAUAAGCAAAUGCUGUUGAAAAAAGAACAAAAAAUAAAGCAGGUAAACUUUCACUGCAAGUUGUCUUUAAUGUUUUAUUACAUUUAA